AUUGAACGCUGGCGGCAUGCCUUACACAUGCAAGUCGAACGGUAACAGGUCUUCGGAUGCUGACGAGUGGCGAACGGGUGAGUAAGACAUCGGAACGUGCCCGAGAGUGGGGGAUAACGAGGCGAAAGCUUUGCUAAUACCGCAUACGAUCUCAGGAUGAAAGCAGGGGACCGCAAGGCCUUGCGCCCACGGAGCGGCCGAUGGCAGAUUAGGUAGUUGGUGGGAUAAAAGCUUACCAAGCCGACGAUCUGUAGCUGGUCUGAGAGGACGACCAGCCACACUGGGACUGAGACACGGCCCAGACUCCUACGGGAGGCAGCAGUGGGGAAUUUUGGGCAAUGGGCGCAAGCCUGAUCCAGCCAUGCCGCGUGCAGGAUGAAGGCCUUCGGGUUGUAAACUGCUUUUGUACGGAACGAAAAGACUCUGGUUAAUACCUGGGGUCCAUGACGGUACCGUAAGAAUAAGCACCGGCUAACUACGUGCCAGCCGCCGCCGUAAUAC
rnacentral:rRNA from 1 species